rnacentral:rRNA from 1 species
AACGAACGCUGGCGGCAGGCUUAACACAUGCAAGUCGAGCGCCCCGCAAGGGGAGCGGCAGACGGGUGAGUAACGCGUGGGAAUCUACCCAAUACUACGGAAUAGCUCCGGGAAACUGGAAUUAAUACCGUAUGUGCCCUACGGGGGAAAGAUUUAUCGGUAUUGGAUAAGCCCGCGUUGGAUUAGCUAGUUGGUGAGGUAAUGGCUCACCAAGGCGACGAUCCAUAGCUGGUCUGAGAGGAUGAUCAGCCACACUGGGACUGAGACACGGCCCAGACUCCUACGGGAGGCAGCAGUGGGGAAUAUUGGACAAUGGGCGAAAGCCUGAUCCAGCCAUGCCGCGUGAGUGAUGAAGGCCUUAGGGUUGUAAAGCUCUUUCAGGUGGGAAGAUAAUGACGGUACCACCAGAAGAAGCCCCGGCUAACUUCGUGCCAGCCGCCGCCGUAAAAC